AUUGAACGCUGGCGGCAGGCCUAACACAUGCAAGUCGAACGAGUGGCGGACGGGUGAGUAAUGUCUGGGAAACUGCCUGAUGGAGGGGGAUCACUACUGGAAACGGUAGCUAAUACCCCAUACCAUCAGAUGUGCCCAGAUGGGAUUAGCUAGUUGGUGGGGUAACGGCUCACCAAGGCGACGAUCCCUAGCUGGUCUGAGAGGAUGACCAGCAAAACUGGAACUGAGACAGGGUCAAGAAUCGUACGGGAGGCAGCAGUGGGGAAUAUUGCACAAUGGGGGAAAGCCGGAUGCAGCCAUGCGGAGUGUAUGAAGAAGGCCUUCGGGUUGUAAAGUACUGUCAGCGGGGAGGCGUUACCCGCAGAAGAAGCAACGGCUAAAUCCGUGACAGCAGCCGCGGUAAUAC
rnacentral:rRNA from 1 species